rnacentral:rRNA from 1 species
UAUUGGACAAUGGGGGCAACCCUGAUCCAGCAAUGCCGCGUGUGUGAAGAAGGUUUUCGGAUUGUAAAGCACUUUCGGCGGGGACGAUGAUGACGGUACCCGCAGAAGAAGCCCCGGCUAACUUCGUGCCAGCAGCCGCGGUAAUACGAAGGGGGCUAGCGUUGCUUGGAAUGACUGGGCGUAAAGGGCGUGUAGGCGGUUUGUACAGUCAGAUGUGAAAUACCCGGGCUUAACCUGGGAGCUGCAUUUGAUACGUGCAGACUAGAGUGUGAGAGAGGGUUGUGGAAUUCCCAGUGUAGAGGUGAAAUUCGUAGAUAUUGGGAAGAACACCGGUGGCGAAGGCGGCAACCUGGCUCAUGACUGACGCUGAGGCGCGAAAGCGUGGGGAGCAAACAGGA